rnacentral:rRNA from 1 species
CACUCCUGCGGGAGGCAGCAGUGGGGAAUAUUGGACAAUGGGCGCAAGCCUGAUCCAGCCAUGCCGCGUGAGUGAUGAAGGCCCUAGGGUUGUAAAGCUCUUUCACCGGUGAAGAUAAUGACGGUAACCGGAGAAGAAGCCCCGGCUAACUUCGUGCCAGCAGCCGCGGUAAUACGAAGGGGGCUAGCGUUGUUCGGAUUUACUGGGCGUAAAGCGCACGUAGGCGGACUAUUAAGUCAGGGGUGAAAUCCCGGGGCUCAACCCCGGAACUGCCUUUGAUACUGGUAGUCUUGAGUUCGAGAGAGGUGAGUGGAAUUCCGAGUGUAGAGGUGAAAUUCGUAGAUAUUCGGAGGAACACCAGUGGCGAAGGCGGCUCACUGGCUCGAGACUGACGCUGAGGUGCGAAAGCGUGGGGAGCAAACAGGAUUAGAAACCCUAGUAGUCCCA